GUUAUCUUCUGAAAACCCUCUGUAAUACAUAAAAAAAUUCAAACUAUAUUUUCUAACCACGUUCUCUUAUCCAUAUCCAACACAAACUAAGGAGUCCAACACAAACUAAGGAGUCCAAUUGUGGUUAAUACAAAAAAGGUAGUCCCAAGGGGAAAUCAAAGCCUCCGUAUGCGACUAGCUGAAUGCUUGACAGGGAAGGUAUUUUUCACUGCUAGAAAUGAUCAAGGCUAAAGAGCCAUGGCAGAGAAAGCCAAAAAGUUCAUGAAAGUUGGUGUGAAAAGUGGAAUCCAAUCACAACUUCUUAGAUUCCGAUUGAAGAGGAAGUAUGGAGUUGCAAAAGACAAAAUUUGUUCGUGAUGUUCUAAAGAGUAUUUGCUUUUCUUAUGUGUGAUAAAAUCAAGCCAUUCACUUGCAUAGAGUACUAAAGAUUGUGCUUAAAUUUCUUGUACUUUUUGGGAUGAACUUGAAGUUUCCAUACGGCAUUGUCUUUUUUUUUCUUUUUUUUUUUUUUUGGUCACGCAUAAUAUUUUUUAGUUAUUAUUAUUUAUAUUAUCCGCGCAUCGCGCGAAUAUGUAUACUAGUAAUAAUAAUAAUAUAAUAAAUAAUUGAAAACGAGAGUAAUCAUUUUUCACAUUUUUUGGACAUUGAAAUGCUUUACAAAAGAUGAGAUAAUCAACGUUUUACAUAAUUAAGGACAAAUGGUUAGAUAAACAUGAAAUACUAAAACUACAUACACGUUUAAGAAAUUACAAUAGUUCAUUAAGAAAA